CUGGUGCGCUCGCUAGUAGGUAAGGAUUUAUAAAUGAACUGCCUAACUUAUAAUGCCCCUGCGCGAGGACCCACCCAAUCAAUGAAGGUGGGGGCGAUGCGGGGGCAACAGCUCGGCCAUAGCGAGGUCCCCACGGGAGAGCCUUCCGCGUCACGGAGCGCAAUGACCGUGGGUAACCCUGGCCGAGUACACUCUUCUGGCCCGCCUGGGUUAAGCCGCUUGAGAUUGCCCUAUGGCUUCAAUGAGAGCGGUCGUUACGGGCGGGCCACAUUUCC
rfam:Thermococcales archaeon 44_46 PW_scaffold_1432, whole genome shotgun sequence.